rnacentral:lncRNA from 1 species
UAACAAUAUCUUCAUUAGUCAGUGAAAUUAAAUUAGUUGAAGCAAAACAAUAAUGAGCGCAGAGUAAAUGAGCAAGCAGUUCUUCUUUACCUGAUCAGAGUGUUCACUUUUUUUUAUUUUUGUCUGGUGUCAUACAUUUUCUUGACUGAAUCCUUUAUUUUCUUCUUGUCAGCACGAAUGAAAACAAGGGUAUUGUUGUCUUCUAUCUUCUUCUUCGCAGAUUCAGUGGUGAGUGGAUAUUUCAGAAUCUGGUAAUGAUCAAGCUUGUUCCUAGAAGGAGCUCUAAUGCGAGGAAACUUGGGAUUCCUAUCCUUCUUCAAUGUUUUCGGUCAGUGAAAUAAUCCUCUUUGACUUCUUCUAAACGUUGUCGAAGCUGAUUUCACGGCCUUGGCAGCUUUCAAGGCCUGAGCCUUUGGGUCUGACCUUUUUGCCGGGUCAACUACGAAUUACAUGAAUUGAAAUUAACAUAGACAACAGUAUUUUAGCAACAGAUGUAAUGCGUUAUAACAGAAAACAAUUCAACCAUUGGAAAUUGCCACGAGUAUAAAAUAUUGUCUAAGGGUCAGACAAUUGCUGAACAUAAUUGAUAUCUGCUGCGAGUACUCUACUCUACACUGUACAACUCUGAAGAAAAAUUAGGGUCUGUUAAUGAAUGAGUUCUGAGUACAAUUGUAUUCCUUUCUUGCAAUGCCAAUGGAGAUGACAAAUAGUCAAUGCAAAUCAUUUUUGCUUCUUUAAUAAGAAUUCACAAAAAUAUAUACAAUAAAAUCCAGCCGUCUCUGAAUAAUAAUCCUCUAUUUGUAAAGCAGCUAUCUAAUAAACCAUUAAAAAAAAUUAUCUUCUUCCACCAAUUACAAAUCGGAGGCUCGCAGCCAUUAUUCAACAACUAACCAUGACCAUUUCCCCCAAUCUUUCAUAGCAACGAGAAAUUAUCUAUCAUAAAAGUCUACUUUAACAUUCUGUAUCCCACUUUCACUGUUAACGUUAUGAUAAUAUUUAUUUGUAAUCAUGCCAAGAAUCAAGAAUCACCACAUAAUAAAUUAAUAAAACGAAUUCAUAUCUGUGGAAGUCAUUGUUGAUAUGAAUAAUUGUUAUAUUAGCAGUCAAAAUUUUCCUCUCCUUGCUUUUCACAAAAGUAUUAGCUAUCAAUGGGGCUAGCUAAUGAAAUAUAUAUCGAGAGGAGAGGGGAUCUAGCCUUUAUAUAGGAAAUAAUUGAGCCGUCCCAUUACGACUAAAAUUCUAAUUAGGAUUUAUUUUCGGCCCACAUAUUUUAAAUUACCAC